GAUGGUGUCUUGGUGCUGCAUCCUCCAAAGUCAAGGAACACUGUGUCCUCACAUGGUGGAAGGCGGGAGGGCAAGAGGAAUGAAGCCGUUUCAUGAGGGCUCCUAAACCCACUCCUGAGCUUUGAAAAUGGACUUAACUACCUCAAACCAAUGGGACAUAGUCCCCUGUUACGGUUCCCAGGCUCUUUGUCCUGGGCAGAGCUUGUUGCACCUUCCAGUUCCAGUAAUCAAGGAAGCGGAGUCCCUGCAAUUCUUCAAGGAACCUUGAGAACUCAGGAGGUCCUGGGGUGGCUGCAUCAAUCCUGCAGACCAAUGCCAAUCAGCAGAGGGGCCAUUCCCAGGGCCACAUGGCUGGCUGAGUUGGGCCUUGGCCAGUUCGGCCUCUGUGUAGACACCGUCCCAUCGUCCGGAGAUUCGGCCUCUGUGUAG
rnacentral:lncRNA from 1 species